CCUGACCCCAUGCCGAACUCAGAAGUGAAACGCCGUAGCGCCGAUGGUAGUGUGGGGUCUCCCCAUGCGAGAGUAGGACACUGCCAGGC
rnacentral:rRNA from 6 species